rnacentral:rRNA from 1 species
AGAAGCUACUAAGAGUUUAUGGUGGAUGCCUUGGCGCCAAGUGCCGAUGAAGGACGUAGGUUAUUGCGAUAAGCUUCGGGGAGCCGUAAACAGGCGACAUAUCCGGAGAUUUCCGAAUGGGGAAACCCACCAGCGCGAACCGCUGGUAUCAUCCGUUGAACACAUAGACGGAAUGAGGGGCACCUGGGGAACUGAAACAUCUAAGUACCCAGAGGAAAAGAGAGUAUUCCCCGAGUAGUGGCGAGCGAAAGGGGAUUAGCCCAAACCACUGCGGCUUGCCGUAGCGGGGUUGUAGGGCCUGACAUUGUGGAGUUACAAAGUGUUCGGUUAGUAGAAUGGUGUGGGAAAGCCAACCAAAGAGGGUGACAGUCCCGUAAACGAAAACCGAACACCUCCCGUCAGAUACCUGAGUAGUGCCGUGCACGCUAAUACGGCAUGAAUCCGGGGGGCCCACCCUCCAAGGCUAAAUACACUUGGCGACCGAUAGUGAACUAGUACCGUGAGGGAAAGGUGAAAAGUACCCCGUUUAGGGGAGUGAAAUAGAACCUGAAACCGUAAACUUACAAGCAGUUGGAGGGCUAAUGGCGGGUCGGUGCUCCGGUGAAAGCCGGUUGCGCGCCGCUAUGCCUGACAGCGUGCCUCUUGGAGAAUGAGCCUGCGAGUUAAUUUUUGUGGCGAGGUUAAGAGAGUAACACUCGAAGCCGUAGCGAAAGCGAGUCUGAAUAGGGCGUUUAGUCGCUAGAAUUAGACCCGAAACCGGGUGAGCUACCCAUGGACAGGGUGAAGCGAGUCUAAUCGCUCGUGGAGGCCCGAACCUACUAAUGUUGCAAAAUUAGGGGAUGAGCUGUGGGUAGAGGUGAUAUGCCAAACGAACUCGGAGAUAGCUGGUUCUCCCCGAAAUAGCUUUAGGGCUAGCGCUACAUGUUCAGUACUGGAGGUAGAGCACUGAAUGGGCUAGGGGGCUUAGUGCUUACCAAACCCAAUCAAACUCCGAAUGCCAGUACUCCAGAAUGUAGCAGUCGGACUACGGGAGAUGAGUUUCGUGGUCAAAAGGGAAACAGCCCAGAUCAACAGCUAAGGUCCCCAAGUUUGUGCUAAGUGGGAAACGAUGUGGGGUUACUUAAACAACCAGGAGGUUGGCUCAGAAGCAGCCACCCUUUAAAGAGUGCGUAAUAGCUCACUGGUCAAGUGAUCUUGCGCGGAAAAUUUAACGGGGCUAAGCAUAGUACCGAAGCUUUGGGCUUCAGCAUUAGCUGGAGCGGUAGGGGAGCGUUCUGUAGGCAGUGAAGGUCGACCGGAAGGACGGCUGGAGCGUACAGAAGUGAGAAUGCAGGCAUGAGUAGCGUAAAACAUGUGAGAACCAUGUUCGCCGUAUAUCUAAGGUUUCCGACGCCAGGUCAUUCCGCGUCGGGUUAGUCGGGUCCUUAGCCGAGGCCGGAAGGCGUAGGUGAUGGACAUCGGGUCAACAUUCCCGAACCACUUAAAAUGAGUGAUGGGAGGACGCAGCGAGGUAGGCCAGCCCACGAUUGGUCGUGUGGGUGCACCUGACGUCAGACUUUGAGAGCUGUAGGCAAAUCCGCAGUUUGAGUUGAGGUCUGGUGGCGUGCCCUUGAGGUAGAAGUGAGCUAAGCCUUGCUGCCAAGAAAAGUCCCUAAACGUUGAUUUUUGAGUGCCCGUACCGCAAACCGACACUGGUAGACGGGUAGAGUAUACCAAGGCGAACGGGAGAACCCUCGUUAAGGAAUUAGGCAACAUAGCCCCGUAACUUCGGGAGAAGGGGUGCCUCUUAUUGUGAAUGUAUAAUGAGCAUAAAGAGGUCGCAGUGAAAUGGCUCUAGUGACUGGUUAACAAAACCACAGGUCUCUGCAAAGCCGAAAGGCGAUGUAUAGGGGCUGACACCUGCCCAGUGCCGGAAGGUUAAAGGGAGAGGUUAGCCCAAGCGAAGCUUUGAACUGAAGCCCCGGUGAACGGCGGCCGUAACUAUAACGGUCCUAAGGUAGCGAAAUUCCUUGUCGGGUAAGUUCCGACCCGCACGAACGGUGUAACAACUAGAGCACUGUCUCAACGAAGGACCCGGCGAAAUUGAAAUGGCUGUGAAGAUGCGGCCUACCCGCAGCAGGACAAAAAGACCCCGUGGAGCUUUACUGCAUCUUGGCAUUGAGUUUGGGCAAGAUUUGUGUAGGAUAGGUGGGAGGCUUUGAAGCUGGAGCGCUAGCUUCGGUGGAGCCACCGGUGAAAUACCACCCUAAUUUUGUUUAGACCCUAACCCCACACCGUCAUCCGGGUGGGGGACCGUGCCAGGUGGGCAGUUUGACUGGGGCGGUCGCCUCCUAAAAGGUAACGGAGGCGCCCAAAGGUUCCCUCAGGCUGAAUGGAAACCAGCCGGAGAGUGCAAAGGCAUAAGGGAGCUUGACUGCAAGACCAACGCGUCGAGCAGAGACGAAAGACGGGCUUAGUGAUCCCACGGUACUGAGUGGAAGGGCCGUGGCUUACCGGAUAAAAGCUACCCCGGGGAUAACAGGCUGGUGAAGUCCAAGAGUUCACAUCGACGACUUCGCUCGGCACCUCGAUGUCGGCUCAUCGCAUCCUGGGGCUGUAUAAGGUCCCAAGGGUCGGGCUGUUCGCCCGUUAAAGCGGUACGCGAGCUGGGUUCAGACCGUCGUGAGACAGGUCGGUCUCUAUCCGCUGUGGGCGUAAGGGAUUUGAGUGGAGCUGCCCCUAGUACGAGAGGACCGGGGUGGACUGACCUAUGGUGUUCCAGUUGUCGUGCCAACGGCAUUGCUGGGUAGCUAAGUCAGGCAGAGAUAACCGCUGAAUGCAUCUAAGUGGGAAACUCGCCACAAGAUUAGAUCCCUGUGUUUCCGUAAGGAAGUAAGAUCGCAGAUAGACUAUCUGCUUGAUAGGCGGAGUGUGUAAGCACAGCAAUGUGUUUAGCUUAUCCGUACUAAUGAUCGAGGGCUUCUUUAC